rnacentral:rRNA from 1 species
GGCUCAGAUUGAACGCUGGCGGCAGGCCUAACACAUGCAAGUCGAGCGAGAAAGCCUUCGGGUGAGUACAGCGGCGGACGGGUGAGUAACGCGUAGGAAUCUACCUGGUAGUGGGGGACAACAUGGGGAAACCCAUGCUAAUACCGCAUACGCCCUAGUGGGGGAAAGCGGGGGACCUUCGGGCCUCGCGCUAUCAGGAUGAGCCUGCGUAGGAUUAGCUUGUUGGUGAGGUAAAGGCUCACCAAGGCGACGAUCCUUAGCUGGUCUGAGAGGAUGAUCAGCCACACUGGAACUGAGACACGGUCCAGACUCCUACGGGAGGCAGCAGUGGGGAAUAUUGCGCAAUGGGCGAAAGCCUGACGCAGCCAUGCCGCGUGUGUGAAGAAGGCCUUCGGGUUGUAAAGCACUUUCAAUUGGGAAGAAAGGUUGGUAGUUAAUAACUGCCAGCUGUGACGUUACCUUUAGAAGAAGCACCGGCUAACUCCGUG